rnacentral:rRNA from 1 species
UACGUAGGGGGGCAAGCGUUUGUCCGGAUUUAUUGGGCGUAAAGAGCGUGUAGGCGGCCAGAUAGGUCCGUUGUGAAAACUCGAGGCUCAACCUCGAGACGCCGAUGGAAACCAUUUGGCUAGAGUCCGGAAGAGGAGAGUGGGAAUUCCUGGUGUAGCGGUGAAAUUCGUAGAUAUCGGGAGGAACACCGGUGGCGAAGGCGGCGACCUGGGGUAGAUACUGACGCUGAGGUGCGAAAGCGUGGGGAGCAAACAGGG